AUUGAACGCUGGCGGCAGGCUUAACACAUGCAAGUCGAGCGGAGAUGAGGUGCUUGCACCUUAUCUUAGCGGCGGACGGGUGAGUAAUGCUUAGGAAUCUGCCUAUUAGUGGGGGACAACAUUCCGAAAGGAAUGCUAAUACCGCAUACGUCCUACGAGAGAAAGCAGGGGAUCUUCGGACCUUGCGCUAAUAGAUGAGCCUAAGUCGGAUUAGCUAGUUGGUGGGGUAAAGGCCUACCAAGGCGACGAUAUGUAGGCGGGUCUGAGAGGAUGAUCCGCCACACUGGGACUGAGACACGGCCCAGACUCCUACGGGAGGCAGCAGUGGGGAAUAUUGGACAAUGGGGGGAUCCCUGAUCCAGCCAUGCCGCGUGUGUGAAGAAGGCCUUAUGGUUGUAAAGCACUUUAAGCGAGGAGGAGGCUACUGAGACUAAUACUCUUGGAUAGUGGACGUUACUCGCAGAAUAAGCACCGGCUAACUCUGUGCCAGCCGCCGCCGUAAGAC
rnacentral:rRNA from 1 species